rnacentral:rRNA from 1 species
CCUACGGGGGGCAGCAGUGGGGAAUAUUGGACAAUGGGGGCAACCCUGAUCCAGCCAUGCCGCGUGUGUGAAGAAGGCCCUUGGGUUGUAAAGCACUUUCAGUGAGGAAGAACGCCUGGUGGUUAAUACCCAUCAGGAAAGACAUCACUCACAGAAGAAGCACCGGCUAACUCCGUGCCAGCAGCCGCGGUAAUACGGAGGGUGCGAGCGUUAAUCGGAAUUACUGGGCGUAAAGCGCGCGUAGGUGGCUUGAUAAGCCGGUUGUGAAAGCCCCGGGCUCAACCUGGGAACGGCAUCCGGAACUGUCAAGCUAGAGUGCAGGAGAGGAAGGUAGAAUUCCCGGUGUAGCGGUGAAAUGCGUAGAGAUCGGGAGGAAUACCAGUGGCGAAGGCGGCCUUCUGGACUGACACUGACACUGAGGUGCGAAAGCGUGGGUAGCAAACAGGAUUAGAUACCCGAGUAGUC